AUGCUAGGAGACAGAGGAGGACUUCACAGACAGGAUAUCAGGGCACCCAGCUUCCAAGAUGCGCUCACGGCUAAUGGCCAAUCAUUUGAGGAAAACUAAUAUCCCAAAGAGUGGUCGCAAACUCAGUUUCAUUAAGCCCCAGCUCUCCACCAGGUACUGAGGAGAUGGAGAGGAAAUGCUCCUGUCCCCAGGAGGUUGACAGGCCACGAGCCGGAACAGUGAAGCAACCCCACGUGGAAUGCAGCAUGUCACCAGCGGGCCGGGUCAGCCCAAGGAGACAGCUCUGCCAUUGAGACGUCAACACACGAUUCAGAGACCUGGGCUUCUCCUCCACCCCGGAAGACAGGCUCCCCAAUGGCAGGCACCACUGCUCUCACUUCUGCUUCCCGGGAACCGAGCACAGUAGAUACGUGGCUUUCUGAAACCUGAAGACCACUCUUCCUUUACUAUUAUAUCUUCAGGCUACAUAUCCUCAGUUCCUUCCACAGCACCUCCUGGGACGUAGUCUCCAAUCCCCCACCAUCCUGCCUGAAUUUGUCCUCUUUUGUUGUUGUCCCUCUGAUUAAAAUGUGGUCCCAGGCGAGCUCUGGCCUCAGGGGAGGCUUUCAGAGCCCUUCAUCUGAUAAUUCUCCAACCCCUUUUCACCUGGUUAUUCUGUCAAGCACUUACUGCUGCUGUAUUGUAUUUGUAGGAAAUAAAUCCUGAAAUAGUUCCCCUGUGUUCUACAUUUAAACCAUAUCUCC